rnacentral:rRNA from 1 species
UCUGGGCGUAAGCGCGCGCUGGCGGUUUUGUAGACAGAUGUGAAUCCCCGGGCUCAACCUGGGAACUGCCUUUGAGACUGCACGGCUAGAGUGCGGCAGAGGGGGGUGGAAUUCCGCGUGUAGCAGUGAAAUGCGUAGAUAUGCGGAGGAACACCGAUGGCGAAGGCAGCCCCCUGGGCUGGUACUGACGCUCAUGCACGAAAGCGUGGGGAGCAAACAGGAUUAGAUACCCUGGUAGUCCACGCCCUAAACGAUGUCAACUAGUUGUUGGGGAUUCUUUGACUUAGUAAGGUACCUCACGCGUGAAGUUGACCGCCUGGGGAGUACGGGCGCCAGGUUA